rnacentral:lncRNA from 1 species
AAUUACCUGUCCUCGCCUGGGUUGAUAACAGUUUCGUCGAUGAACCUUUGGAUUGCAUUCAUGAACUUUUUGCCAUCCCCCGAGCUUGUAAGCAAUUCAAGAACACGAAAAGGUAAUUGGUUUUCCAACAAGAACAGAUCCGAGUACACAAAUGUCAGCAAAUCGUCUUUAAUAAACAAUUUACCAUCAUCAUCAUCAUCAUCAUCAUCACCGUAACGCCUGUAAACUGCUUGUAAAAUUGCGCAGCCGUCAACGAAGAAAAUCCAAGCCAGUUUCUCGUUAUCGUUGCUAUAGUUCUCUAAUCCCUUUGGAUCAUAGCAUUUCUUUAACUCAUCGAUCUCUGUCUUCAUGUUGUUGUACAAGGUAUCCUUAUCGACGCCAAUUUUUUUGACGAAAAGUGCUGCUAAUUUGAGCUUGAGCUUCUCGGAUUUAUGGAAGGUGGGAUCAUCGUGGUGGAGUGGGCCGAUUGAGAUCACUUUCGGCUUGAAAUACUUACUGAAAUCUUCGUGACGACCAAGGGUUGAUGGGACUCUUUGUAUCAAUGGUUUGGCACGGAGGUCGAUUUCGUCGCCGUCGAAAGCUUCGUCUAAUGACCGGAGAUUCACUACUUCGCCAACGCUGAGAGGGACGUCCAUAUCAAUGCUCACGGAAUCGUUGUUGUCGGUGAUUGUUUGAUCAGUGGGAGCUGCUCCGACGGCGCCGCCUCCUUCCUCCGUGGAGGACAUUUUCAGGCUGAGCGGUUGGAAGUAAUAAACAAGGUGAUUUUGUAAACUGUUUUUGGCAGAGUGAGUGAUGUUGGAGAAAAGGUAGCAAAGUGGAUAAGAUGAUGACAAAUAUUUUGUAGCUUACAUGAUAAACAUAUAUGGGAAAUACUUAAGGCGUUAGUGUUUAUAUUUUUACUAAUAUAAACAAUGAUAAAAAAGAAAAGUUAAAUAGUGACAAAUACUAAAAUUGAGAAUAAUAUUAUGGAACCUAAAUACUCAACACUACUCAAAACCUUCGCCUUUAACCAAGAAACUAAGACCCUAUCUGAGGGAGAAUUUUAUAUCUACAACACUUCCUAAAUUUCAUUAGCUUAAUAAUAGCUAUUCAAAUAUAUUUUUUCAUUUUAUUACUGACUUUAAUAUUUAAAUUAUCAUUAUAUUGCAUGAUUUAUUCCAAAUAUUUACAUAUAGUAAUUGCAUUUGUAAUUCUACCUAACUAUGAAAAAUCUCAAAUUUGCAACAUGUUAUUCACAUGCCAACCAACCAAUAUAUUAUUCCUACCAACCAAUUUAUCAUUCACAUUCCAACUUUCUAAAUCCAUCAAAUAUUUCAUAUUCAUGUACUAACAAAGAUCAUGCCAAGAACCCACAUGCAAAGUCAUUGUAUAGUACCACAUUUAACUCAAUCGGACUUUUACACAACUAAAGAUUACUCCAAACGUUUAUAUGCAUGUCACAAUCCUUCACUCAAAAUGAUAAAAAAAACUAUUAAAUUGACGAUAAAAUAGUUUAAGCUUCGACCGAUUCAACCGACGUGUUCUAGCAUAUAAUAUGUUUAGUAAGCUCAUAUGGAAACUAAAACUUACCUAGAUCAAUUGAACAUAAAAAAUUACUCAAUAAGCUAUCGAAUUAAUUUUUCCCUGACACUUAUAUACAUAUAGUACAUCUAAUAAAAUUUCUGUUAAAGAAAAGCAAUUUGACUCUUUUUCUAAAAAGUUAAUAACUAAAUUUAGCUCAAAUAAAAAAAAAGAAUAAAAGUCAAUUUGAUAAAAAAUAUAAAUAUUAAAAAUUAAAUUUAUCAUUAUAUCUUUUUUAAGUAAUUAUUUGUGGUGAGCCAUCAUGUCUGACGAUGAUUUUUAAAUACUGUAUUAAUUAUAUAUAGCACAUCAUAUUUCACUAUAAUUUCUAUAGACUUUUUAAACAUGGGGUUAAUUGUUUAUGGCCCAUUGCCCAUGUUGCUUUUAUUAAAUUUUGGGUGAACUUCUCAUUUUGGUCAAAAAAAAAUUGUAUUCUCAGUAUAAAACAAAAAACUAAUCUUUAAUGUUUAUGGCCAAACCCCACCUCUCCUAUCCUAUAAUAAUGGUUCUUGGCUUCUUCUAUCCUACACCUCAAUUAUUUGGAUUAGAUUGAAAAACAAUUGACACUUGAUUUGAUUGUGAAAUAAAGUUAAAUUUUAAAUUUAUAAUAUUUAAUUUGAGUGUGAAUGAAUUUUUGACUUAAUUGAAAAUUUAAAAUUUUAAGUUCGAGUCGUAUUUAAUUAUGUGUGUAUAUCGUGUAUAAAUUUUGUUCAAAUUUAUUUUGAUUUAAUUUUCAUACUAUAUAUUCUUAAUUAAAUUCGGAAUAUAUUUUGAUUAUCAAUUUAACCAUACAUUGUAACGAUGGAUUAAAAUUAUAGUUAAUUAUAUAUUGAAACUAAAUAAUUAGUUUAAGGAAUUAAAAGAUAUUAUUAUAUUUUAUAAAAUUUGAAUAGAUUCAUAAUUAAUUCGAGAUUAAAAAAUGGGAGAAGAAAAGCUAAAACCAAACCUUUUUUACGGUUGGAACUAAACCCCAUGCGGUGUGGAAAAUUGCAAGUUUCCAGAAUAUACCUACACUUACUAAUUAUAAUAAAUAUCUUUUACUUAGUAAUAAUAAAUAAUAAAUAUAUAUUUACUAAUUAAAUAUAAAUAUUACAAAUGUACAUAUAUUUUGUUUACAAUUGUACAAUAUCAUCACCAUCCAUUUGGCAAAUUUGAUUUGUUCAUAUAAUGUUAAUUUAUAACUAAUAUAAAUUACCGUAUAAUAAAAUAAUUAUGUACAUUAUAAUUUAAUAAUAAUUAAACAAUAAAAAUCUUAGAUUUUUUAUCAACAUUUGCCGCCUCAUUUAUGGUGAAUGGUAUAUCUCCCAUUUUGGUCCCCCUUUCUUUUUAUUAAUUCUUUUUCCUAAUUUCUCCUAAUUAAGCUAAAUUCACUUAAUUAAAUCCUAAUUAAACACACAACUAGCCUCACAAAUAUUCUUAAUAAAACAUUUACAAACUCGGUUUACUAAGACAGAAGCCCUAUAACUCACUUUUUCGGUGCCCGUGAAUUUUGGGCCAUUACACAUUCUUCCGUGGAUAACAUUUUUAGGCUGAGCGGUUCGAAGUAAUUACCAAGGUGAUUUUGUAAACUGUUUUUGGCUAAGUGAGUGAUGUUGGUGAAAAGGUGGCAAAAUGGCUACAAUGUUUCUAUAGCUUAUAUAUAAUGAACAUACGGAAAAUAUUUUUGUGUAAUAUCAAAUUUAGCCCUUAAUAUUUAUAAUUUUACCAAUUUGAUUCUUAUUCUUUUUAGUUAAAUUUAAUUCUCUACCUUUUGAAAGUGUCAAAUUUUCUUGGCUGGAAGCUCACUGCAUGGAAGCCAAAAUCAAAACAAACUUUUGAUGGUUUAAUUGUUUUUGAGCCCUUCAAUUUCAGGUGCUAUGAGAAAUGGAUUACAACCUCAUCUUGUCGUUAUCCCAAAAUCAAAACAAGCAACUCUUGGUUGAAAGUUGAAACCAAGGGCCAAGUCAAAAUUGUUUUAGGAUGAGUCCAAAAUGAAUAAUGAAUUUGAAGGUUCAAAAUAAAAUUUUAUUAAUAUAUAAAUUUAUAAUUUCAUAAAUUUUAAAAGGAUUAAAUGAUAAAUUUACUAAUUUAAGAAGACAAUAGGGAUGGUCAAAUAUUCUAAUUGAACCUAUCUGCGAUCGGAUCGGGAUGGAUUUUUUUAAUUAAAAAAAUUAAAUAGAUUGAAUCGAAAUUCUAGGAGUUACAAAAUUCUCAUAAAUAACAAGAGUUUACAAAAAGUACACUUACUUUGGUUGAUGUAUGGUAUAAUAAGCCUGCAAAGCACCGAUAAAAAGUGCACCAAUGGCACCCACAAAUGCGAAAAACGUCCAACGAGUCCUAAAAAAAGUACGGUAAACUUGAGCUGGAUAUGUAAUCCACAUAUUGUUAUGAUGAUCAUGUAUUUGCAGUUUAACAUGUCUGUAAAUCAUCAGACUAGGAACCAAAUCCAUGUUCAUCUUCUUGAUAAGCUUAGCCACUUCUUUAUCACUCCCAAAUCCAUGGUAUAGUAUGCCUGCGUCUCUCAGUUCCUUAACAUCUUCGGCUUCAUCGAUCAAUGAAUCAAGGAAACCCAUAUAUGAAGUGACGGUGAAAUUGUUGUAGAAAUCCGGACAAUUUCGUAAGCUAUUAAGUUCAUGGUUGAAUCAUCGACGGUGAGAGGCGGUAACCGUAAUUUUCCGACGAAGAAGUAAUGGUUGAAACUGAUGUCGGUUAAACAACUUGUUUCGCUUGCUUCUAACCAUAUCCCGGCGUUUUUAAGCUCUUUUACGUUACGAAACGGGUGUGAAUGGUGAGGUUUUAUUCUUGUAUGGUUUCUGCGAUUUGUGAAGGAUAUGCAAAACCUAGAAGGCCAUGGUUUUUCUUUUUUGAAAAGGAGUCUUACUCGUAGUAGAUGCAAUAAGUGAAUUGGCUCUUUAUUUUUUUCUUGCAGCUGCUGCCACCAUUCACUAGAGCAAAAUCUGUGUUAGUCGGGAGCAAGCUAAAAUUAAGGUUUUCAAUGGUUGAAUCAAAUCAUUAUUAUUUAAUAAAAAAUUAUUUAAAUUAUUAAAUUACAUUUUAAUCCUUUUAAAAAUUAUUAAAUUAUAAAUUUGUAUACAAUAAAAUUAUAUUUUGACUCCUCAAAAUGAAUAAAAAAUUGUUUAAACACUUUUAAAAAAUGAUGACAUCAUAAAUUAAUGCAAAAAAAAAAUCUAAGAAUUAAACCAAACUUGUCUAUCGGCCUAAUUAAACAGAGAAUCAAGCAAGGUACUAAUCCAGAAUAAUAAAUUAAAUCCAUUGAAUCUAAUCAUCAAAUCGAUUUUUUUUAUAUUUUUAAUAUAUCUUUAAUAUUUUUAAAAUUUUAUAUAAUUGAAUCGAAUAAACUAAUCAACCAAAAAUGAGACUCUAAUGGAUUGUAUCACCUAUAUAUGUAGUUGUAAAAAUCCUUUUAACAUUUAUAAACUCCACAAAUUGAUUCAUUUAUAAAUUCCUUAAAUUACCUGUCCUGCUGAUGUGAUUGUGGGUCUUUAACAGUGCCGUUGAUGAACCUUAUGAUUGCCUCCAUGAAUUUUGUGCCAUCCUUCGAUCUUGUAAGCAAUUCAAGAACACGAAAAGGUAAUUGGUUUUCCAACAAGAACAGAUCCGAGUACACAAAUGUUAGCAAUUCGUUUUUAAUAGAAAAUUCGUUCGACGUACGACAACGAUCUUGGCCGUAAAGCAUAUAAACUGCUUGUAAAAUUGCGCAGCCGUCAACGAAGAACAUCCAAGCCAGUUUCUCGUUAUCGUUGCUAUAGUUCUCUAAUCCCUUUGGAUCAUAGCAUUUCUUUAAGCCAUCGAUCUCUGUCUUCAUGUUGUUGUACAAGGUAUCCUUAUCGACGCCAAUUUUUUUAACGAAAAGUGCUGCUAAUUUGAGCUUGAGCUUCUCGGAUUUAUGGAGGGUGGCAUCAUCGUGGUAGAAUGGGCCGAUUGAGAUCACUUUCGGCUUGAAAUACUUACUGAAAUCUUCGUGACGACCAAGGGUUGAUGGGACUCUUUGUAUCAAUGGUUUGGCACCGAGGUCGAUUUCGUCGCCGUCGAAAGCUUCGUCUAAUGACCGGAGAUUCACUACUUCGCCAACGCUGAGAGGGACGUCCAUAUCAAUGCUCACGGAAUCGUUGUUGUCGGUGAUUGUUUGAUCAGUGGAAACUGCUCCGACGGCGCCGCCUC